CUUUGACUCUUCUGGACAGACGUGACCCGGAGACAGUAUUCAGUAAGCCACUGAAAAAGCUAAUCUGAAUGAACAAAACAAAUAUGAGAAUGUCCCACAGGUGGCUACACCUGUUCCCGGUCCUUGUCGCCCUCUACUGGAGAUAACAGGCAAAACAGGUAAAUGUGCACAGCUCAACGGUCUGGUGUCUCCCUCUGCUGGAGACUGCAGGUGUAACAGGUAAGUAUUAACAGUCCUGAGGUCCGUUGUCUCCCUCUGCUGGAGACGGUAGGAGGAGCAGGUAAGUAUGCAGCUAUCUCAAAUGCUGUUGUCCCCCUCUGCUGGAUGUGGCUGGUAAGUAUAAAGGACUUCCACAGACAAAGCUCCUGCCCCGCCCAGGAUCUAGGAAAACCGCAAGAAAGUACA